UUCUUCUUAAGAGAAAUCCUAUAAAAUGGGAAUGAUAUAGAAAAGAUUAAUAUGGUUCUGUGCAAGGAUGACACGCACAAAUCAAGAAAUGGUGAAAUGGUAU
rnacentral:snRNA from 1 species